UCGCUCCAACGACGCUGCGACUCCGCCAAACACUCCAACGACGCUGCGAAUCUGCGAAUUUGGAGCUCUGGAUUAUAUAUGGCAGAAAAAGACAAAAUUAGUGAACUCACAGUGCGUAUACUUGACAAUAUUUUGAGAUUUUUGCCGAUUCAAGAGACUGAUAGAACUGCGAUUUUAUCUUCCUUCUGGAAAGAUAUCUGGUUUAGCGAGCUCAACUUUGGUUUUGCUUUCUUUGACUAUAUGUCUUAAAUAUUCGGAUGCUGAAGGUUGAAAGUCGGAAUCUCAAUCUCCUAUUUUGGAAGUAAUUAAUCAACAAAAUUCUUAUGCGGCACAAUGGACCUAUUCACAAAAUUGGGUUCGAUUUUCCUGGCAAAGUAUUUGCAUUCCAUUUCUUUGAACAGUUUUAUUUUGAGGAUGUAGCUAAUUUGUUGUCGGACAACUUGAAUCAGUGGUUUCUUCUUCUCACCCAGAAUAGUGUUGAAGAAAUUGAUAUUUCUUAUGGGGUAGAUAUAAAAGCAAAAUGCAGGGUGCCGAAUUGCAUAUUUUCUUGCCCAACACUGAAGAGAUUGAAACUUAAAAAUGUCGAUGUUGAGCUAAUAAAUGCUUAUUGUGUACUUCCGAAUGUUACAUCACUUUUUCUUGAUGGUGUUCACUUUAAGCCUAGAAAUUGUUCGGAUUAUGUUUAUCUUCAGGAUCUCUCAUUUGGCCAUUGCGAUGGCAUAUUUUAUUUUAACAUUGUUGCACCAAACUUGGUAGUUUGAAAAUCAUCCUGCCCAGGUGUACUCGUUAUUAUCACAAAGAGUUUUGUGUUCUGCCGCCUA